GUUAUAUGGUCAAGCGAAUAAGCGCACACGGUGGAUGCCUUGGCGGUCAGAGGCGAUGAAGGACGUGGCAGCCUGCGAAAAGUAUCGGGGAGCUGGCAACAAGCUUUGAUCCGGUAAUGUCCGAAUGGGGAAACCCACCCGCUUGCGGGUAUCCUGCAGUGAAUACAUAGCUGCUGGAAGCGAACCUGGUGAACUGAAAUAUCUAAGUAACCAGAGGAAAAGAAAUCAACCGAGAUUCCGUAAGUAGCGACGAGCGAACGCGGACUAGCCCUUAAGCUGAUUUGGUUCUAGGAAAACGCUCUGGAAAGAGCGGCCAUAGAAGGUGAUAGCCCUGUAUCUGAAAGGGCCAUUUCAGUGAAGACGAGUAGGGCGGGGCACGUGAAACCCUGUCUGAACAUGGGGGGACCAUCCUCCAAGGCUAAAUACUACUGACCGACCGAUAGUGAACCAGUACCGUGAGGGAAAGGCGAAAAGAACCCCGGAGAGGGGAGUGAAAUAGAACCUGAAACCGUGUGCGUACAAGCAGUAGGAGCUCCGCAAGGAGUGACUGCGUACCUUUUGUAUAAUGGGUCAGCGACUUACUGUUCGUGGCAAGCUUAACCGUAUAGGGGAGGCGAAGGGAAACCGAGUCUGAUAAGGGCGCAUAGUCGCGGGCAGUAGACCCGAAACCGGGUGAUCUAGUCAUGCCCAGGGUGAAGGUGCGGUAACACGCACUGGAGGCCCGAACCCACUCCCGUUGCAAAGGUAGGGGAUGAGGUGUGAUUAGGAGUGAAAAGCUAAUCGAACCCGGAGAUAGCUGGUUCUCCUCGAAAGCUAUUUAGGUAGCGCCUCAUAUGUAUCCUCUCGGGGGUAGAGCACUGUUAUGGCUAGGGGGUCAUCGCGACUUACCAAACCAUUGCAAACUCCGAAUACCGAGACGGACUGUAUGGGAGACACACGGCGGGUGCUAACGUCCGUCGUGAAAAGGGAAACAACCCAGACCCACAGCUAAGGUCCCAAAUUCACUGCUAAGUGGAAAACCAUGUGGAAAGGCACAGACAGCCAGGAGGUUGGCUUAGAAGCAGCCACCCUUUAAAGAAAGCGUAAUAGCUCACUGGUCGAGUCGGUCUGCGGGGAAGAUUUAACGGGGCUAAGCAGUGAACCGAAGCUUGGGGUGCAUAACUUUGUUAUGCGCGGUAGAGGAGCGUUCCGUAAGCCGUUGAAGGUGGAUUGAGAAGUCUGCUGGAGGUAUCGGAAGUGCGAAUGCUGACAUGAGUAACGAUAAUGCGGGUGAAAAACCCGCACGCCGAAAGCCCAAGGUUUCCUUGCGCAACGUUAAUCGGCGCAGGGUGAGUCGGCCCCUAAGGCGAGGACGAAAGUCGUAGUCGAUGGGAAGCAGGUUAAUAUUCCUGCACCUCGCGUAAGUGCGAUGGAGGGACGGAGAAGGUUAGGUGUACCAGGCGUUGGUUGUCCUGGGGAAAGGCGGUAGGUUUGGAUCUUUGGCAAAUCCGGGAUCCUUYAAGACCGAGCACCGAGACGAGCCUUUAUGGCAAAGUCACUGAUACCACGCUUCCAGGAAAAGCUCCUAAGCUUCAGCUUACGCAGACCGUACCGUAAACCGACACAGGUGGGUAGGAUGAGAAUUCUCAGGCGYUUGAGAGAACUCGGGUGAAGGAACUAGGCAACAUGGCACCGUAACUUCGGGAGAAGGUGCACCCUUUUUGGUGGCUCGUGCGAGCUAUAGCUGAAGAGGGUCGCAGUAACCAGGCCGCUGCGACUGUUUAUCAAAAACACAGCACUCUGCAAACACGAAAGUGGACGUAUAGGGUGUGACGCCUGCCCGGUGCUGGAAGGUUAAUUGAUGGGGUCAGCCGCAAGGCGAAGCUCUUGAUCGAAGCCCCAGUAAACGGCGGCCGUAACUAUAACGGUCCUAAGGUAGCGAAAUUCCUUGUCGGGUAAGUUCCGACCUGCACGAAUGGCGUAACGACAGCGGCGCUGUCUCCACCCGAGACUCAGUGAAAUUGAAAUCGCUGUGAAGAUGCAGCGUUCCCGUGGCAAGACGGAAAGACCCCGUGAACCUUUACUAUAGCUUUACACUGAACGUUGAGUUCGUCUGUGUAGGAUAGGUGGGAGGCUAUGAAACUGUGGCGCUAGCUGCAGUGGAGCCAUCCUUGAAAUACCACCCUGUCGUGCUUGACGUUCUAACCUGGGCCCAUUAUCUGGGUCGGGGACCGUGUAUGGUGGGUAGUUUGACUGGGGCGGUCUCCUCCUAAAGAGUAACGGAGGAGCUCGAAGGUACGCUCAGCGCGGUCGGACAUCGCGCACUGUGUGCAAAGGCAUAAGCGUGCUUGACUGCAAGAUCGACGGAUCAAGCAGGUAGGAAACUAGGACUUAGUGAUCCGGUGGUUCUGUAUGGAAGGGCCAUCGCUCAACGGAUAAAAGGUACUCCGGGGAUAACAGGCUGAUACCGCCCAAGAGUUCAUAUCGACGGCGGUGUUUGGCACCUCGAUGUCGGCUCAUCACAUCCUGGGGCUGUAGUCGGUCCCAAGGGUAUGGCUGUUCGCCAUUUAAAGUGGUACGCGAGCUGGGUUCAGAACGUCGUGAGACAGUUCGGUCCCUAUCUGCCAUGGGCGUUGGAGAUUUGAGAGGGGCUGCUCCUAGUACGAGAGGACCGGAGUGGACGAACCUCUGGUGUUCCGGUUGUCACGCCAGUGGCAUUGCCGGGUAGCUAUGUUCGGAAGCGAUAACCGCUGAAAGCAUCUAAGCGGGAAGCGCGCCUCAAGAUGAGAUCUCCCGGGGCACAAGCCCCCUGAAGGAACCAUGUAGACUACGUGGUUGAUAGGUCAGGUGUGUAAGUACAGCAAUGUAUUGAGCUAACUGAUACUAAUGAUCCGAGAGGCUUGACCAUAUAACCU
rnacentral:rRNA from 1 species